rnacentral:pre_miRNA from 7 species
UCUCUGAGAACUGGGGUAGGCCACAAAUCCCGGACGAGCCCCCACAUGUAAGACCCCCAUGCUGGGCCUCUGCUUAAGUCCCGGGAUGAGCUGGCCAACACCCCAACAUCUUGAGAGAAA